UCUUGGUCAUUUUAGAGGAAGUAAAAGUCGUAACAAGGUUUCCGUAGGUGAACCUGCGGAAGGAUCAUUAAUGAGUUGUAAUGGGGUUUGAUGCUGGCACGCAAGUCUUUGAGUGCAUGUGCUCGCCCCAACAAUCCAUCUUCCAAACACCCGUGCACAUUUUUUUUUGAGGGAGUUUUGAGUGGAUUGCCUCUUUUGGCGAUCUUCUUCCAUUCCCUUGAAUUUCAUUAUACGCUGUUAACAAUGCUGAACGUGCUUUGUGCCGUUAAGGCCUUUAACACAUAAUACAACUUUUAACAACGGAUCUCUUGGCUCUCGCAUCGAUGAAGAACGCAGCGAAAUGCGAUAAGUAAUGUGAAUUGCAGAAUUCAGUGAAUCAUCGAAUCUUUGAACGCACCUUGCGCUCCCUGGUAUUCCGGGGAGCACGCCUGUUCGAGUGUCGCGAAAUUCCUCAAGCUCUGGGAUGGGUCUUCUUUGUCCUGUCCCUUGGGGCUUGGUUGUUGGGCUUUGCCGUGUCCUUCAUUGUGGGACGGCUGGUCUUAAAAGCAUUAGCUUGAUCCUCGUGCGGUACUGGUUCUACUCAGCGUGAUAAUUCUCUGAACGUUGAGGACAUCUUUUGGAUGGCCAGUCCUCAUUUGGGUUGCUGCAAACCAGGGGUUGCUCAAUCUUGAGCUUCCACGUUUCUCGGUUUGACCUCGAAUCAGGUGGGACUACCCGCUGAACUUAAGCAUA
rnacentral:rRNA from 1 species